ensembl:lncRNA
UGUGUGUGUGUGUGUGUGUGUGUGUGUGUGUAUUCAUACAUGUUUGUGCUGAUCUACUUGUGUUUUUUUCAAGGCAUAUGCUAGCAUUUUCAUUGCACAUGUGUGUAUAUGUGUAUGUGUGCAUGCAGUGUGUGUGCGUGUGUGUGUGUGUGUGUGUGUGUGUGUGUGCGGGUGUCAUCCUGAAAAAGAUAGCCUGCACUAUGUCACGUCUUGUCCUCAUAUAACCCCACAUUCAGAGAGGGGUGGCCCCAACCCCACUGUCUCUGCACGCAGCCAGCUGCCACCCAGCUGUGCAGGAGAACCACUCUCAUCCACGGUCACAAACCUGACAGGGAAACUAAGCUUAUUAGAUCAUUAUUGUUCAUACACUUCCUUUUCCUACUUCUGUAUUUCAUUUCUUUUGACGAUAUUCCUCCGGACCAAUAGAGUAUGUUUCUUAUAUUCCUCAGCACCAAUAGAGUAUGUUUCUUAUAUCCCUCAGCACCAAUAUAGUAUGUUUCUUACACUCGGACAAGUAUGACAGAGCGGCAGUGAGAAUGAGGGGUUCUGAGGAUAGAAGGUGAGGUCGCUGAAUAACUGGACUGAAUGUUCUGAGGAUAGAAGGUGAGGUCAGUGAAUAACUGGACUGAAUGUUCUGAGGAUAGAAGGUGAGGUCAGUGAAUAACUGGACUGAAUGUUCUGAGGAUGGAAGGUGAUGUCACUGAAUAACUGGAUUGAAUGUUCUGAGGAUGGAAGGUGAGGUCAUUGAAUAACUGGACUGAAUGUUGCGGCAUCGAUCAGUAAGGGACAUUUGUGUGAAUAUGUUUAACUAAUGGAAGUGCCUGUGCUAUUCAUUUUACAUUUACAUUUAGUCAUUUAGCGGACGCUUUUGUCCAAAGCGACGUACAAGGGAGCUAUCCCAAGUUCAUCAUGAUUUGUUUUUUGUCUGGAAGGUCUGAAGUUUUGAAAUUGAUUUUCCCACUUCUAGAAAACUCUUGACUUGCUGUGUAGGUAACCUGCUAGCCCCAGUGUUAGAUACUAUAUACAACAGUAGAGCUGUUUGAUGGCAGCGGUGGUGGUGAUGAUUUUGGUGGUGGUGAUGAUUUUGGUGGUGGUGAUGAUUUUGGUGCUGGUGAUUUUGGUGCUGGUGAUUUUGGUGCUGGUGAUUUUGAUGGUGGUGAUUUUGGUGGUGAUGAUUUUGGUGCUGGUGAUUUUGGUGCUGGUGAUUUUGGUGGUGAUGAUUUUGAUGGUGGUGAUUUUGGUGGUGAUGAUUUUGAUGGUGGUGAUUUUGGUGGUGGUGAUUUUGGUGGUGGUGAUUUUGAUGGUGGUGAUUUUGGUGGUGAUGAUUUUGGUGCUGGUGAUUUUGAUGGUGGUGAUUUUGGUGGUGGUGAUUUUGAUGGUGGUGAUUUUGGUGGUGGUGAUUUUGUUGUGUGCUGGGCUGAGACGGAUUUCUAACUAGCAUGUACCACUCUUAUGCUAAAUGGCCAAAUGCAAUCUGUAUUCGCUGAAGCUGAAUCUGUUUAUACAGAAGCCUUGUCUUGUCUGUCUACCGUCUUCCACCAUCAUUGUAUUUAAACUACCAUACCACCACCAUUGAAUCUGAACACUUAUAAUUAAAAAGCCUAUCAUAGACAGUAGUUCGUAUAAUCUUACAGAUCCCUUCGGUCAGUCAUCUUAAUUUCAUCAUUCGGUCAUCAUUUAAUUCUCUCUUUAUCUUCAAAAAUCAAAAUGGAAAUCUUUAAUAAUUAACAUGCAUGACUAUGAAUGAAUAUUUAAAGAAAACGAUGUUCUGCCCUGCAGUGCUCUCUUCUUUCACACAGCACACAACCUGUGAAGAAUGAGAAGCUGAACUUGUGUCCAUGAAUUGUUCUCGCAUUGACAAGAAGCUUUUAAAGCUUUUAUUUAUAGUAGAUCUCACAUGUGUAGGACAGACGAUGUCUGCCAACCCACUGGCUCCCAGACAAUCCUCAACGCAAGACCUGCAUGGUCAGCUUGGCCAAGGCAUGGUUGCCAUAGUGACUCUGUUGUUGGAAAACCAAUGACGUGCCACACAUUACUCUUAAGCUUUUUGCAAACAAGGACAAAUACAAAUCCUUCCCAAAGUCUUCCUUUGUUUGGAAGAGAGCACGAUAUCCAACACUAGCAAAUAUUGGCACAGCUUGGCAUCUAAAUCCCUCAUCUUUUCCCUCAAAGCCUGUAAAAGGGGAUUCUUUUACAGAGAUAGGGAGGGAAACACCGAAAUAUUGUGGUUUAAAAAUAGAAAUACGGUACAUGAAGAUCUUACUCAAAUACGUGGUGUACUACUGUGUGCUAUAGUGUUUGUUGAGUACAGUUUGCCCGAGCUAGUGUCCACGCUGUUUUGAAAAGCUGUCUCGCUCUCGCUGUUAGCGCUCGCUAAGUCCUGAUCCUGUUAAUAGAAAUACAUCAGCGUUUGGACCAGGGGCCAGAGGGAGAUGGGGUGCUUAAUCUGUUAACUGCAUCACUCUCAAAGAAAUGGACACAUCAGACAUCAGACUACCGUAGAACAUAGCCUAGAAGAUUAUGGGAAACAACUUCAUAUGGACAAAUUCAUGACUGUGUGUGUGUGUGUGUGUGUGUGUGUGUGUG